rnacentral:rRNA from 1 species
GUAGGUGGCAAGCGCUGUCCGGAAUUAUUGGGCGUAAAGCGCGCGCAGGCGGGGUCCUUUAAGUCUGAUGUGAAAGCCCACGGGCUCAACCGUGGAGGGUCAUUGGAAACUGGGGGACUUGAGUACAGAAGAGGAAAGCGGAAUUCCAAGUGUAGCGGUGAAAUGCGUAGAGAUUUGGAGGAACACCAGUGGCGAAGGCGGCUUUCUGGUCUGUAACUGACGCUGAGGCGCGAAAGCGUGGGGAGCAAACAGGAUUAGAUACCCUGGUAGUCCACGCCGUAAACGAUGAGUGCUAAGUGUUAGGGGGUUUCCGCCCCUUAGUGCUGCAGCUAACGCAUUAAGCACUCCGCCUGGGGAGUACGGCCGCAAAGGCUG